AAGCAAUUGCUGAGUUUUAUACCACUUGUGACGUCAGGCCCAAAGGGGAAAUUGACUGAUCGAUUCUUUUAAAACUUAUGCAAAAAAGAAAAAGGAAAGAAAGAAAAAGAAGAGGAAAAAGAAAGAACCAACAACUCUGUUUCUAAGAUUUUAAAGCGAUAGGCAAGUCGGAGAAGCCGAGAUUUAUUCGGGAAAAUCCAGAGCGCGCUAAACCAACCUGGCGUUGGGAAGACCAGCCCGCCUGCUUGGAUGAUGGGACUGUUGAUUCCUUCAAUUAAUGAAAUGCAUUUGGUGUUAAUCAUAUUUAUUUUACUUUAUGGGAGAGGGGGCCGCUAGCAGGGUGCAUUAAAAAAAAAAUAAUAAGAUUCUAAAAAGCCUGCAAAAAGAUCGAAGAGUGAAAACUAUUGUUGGACCGAGUUGGUUUUUACCUCAACAGCGCCACCUUUCGGCAAAGGUCAGUUGAAAUUGAUCCGUGUCCAGUUUUGUUGGUGGAGUGAAAAGCAGCUGGUUUCCCAAGGUGGGAGGAGGAAAGAGGCACAGAAAGUUAGUGUCACUGCAAGAGGAGAACCCGACUUUGUAGAAAAGGGACUGAAGAACGUGCUGGUAGAGGGGGGAAUCCAUUUUCCCCCACUGUCCCUCUUGGUUGUCCACAAAGAGACCAGGGGACACAGAAGCCUUUGGAGAAUAAUUCUGGUUGAGACACUUUUGCAAGUGGAUCCCAUCUACCGGGGCCCCAAACCCUUUAGAAGUGUCAGGAUGGAUUUUCAACGGGCUUUAUGGCAAUAUCAAUAGAAUUAAAGUUACUAGUAAUUCAGUGAUAAAUGAGAUGUCUCUAGUAAGUAAGAUUAAGGGCAGUGCUAUAAAGUUGUUUAUCUGAAAGGUAAUUCUCAGAAAACCUGACUUCUGACACUUAGUCACAUAUUAAACCAGCAUCUUGAACAUUGCACUUCACAGUGCUCCCACCCACCGCCCCGUCCUUUACUAUUUAUGACGGGACCUUAGGUGUCACUCAUUGACUUCACACACCAGGUUAGACUUGAGUUGGUUUCUCUGAUGCUGGAAGCCUUCAGUUUCAGGAGACCCGGGAAUCCCUAAUGAGAGACUCCCCAAAACGUUUGUAGGCACAUCACAACGCUAAAAGGCCAGCGCUGUUGGUAUUUUCCAGAAAAGCACCUUUUCUUUUCAUCAUUACUGCAGAGAAGCUGUUUAUAAGGGUAGUUUUGGUUUUAUGGGAGUACUUUGUAGGCAUGGAAUGAAAUAUGUCUGUAACCAGUUUGGGGAAGAAAGAGUGAGGAUUGUGUCAAUAUUUGUGCAACCUAACAGAAUUCCUUUGCUUUGCUCCUUUUAUACAGUAUUUUCCUUAGUAAUGAAGUAAAGGGAUUACAGCUUAGGUAUUCAGAGGAAAAUCCACUGUUUAAGUCACACAAUCAUAUUAUGUCAUUUAGCAUUGUCCACAGCAAUAGUUUUCUAGGCCUUUUUUUUUAUCAUUAACCACAAAUGUCUGAAGUUUAUAUUUUUCAUGUAAAAAUAUAAAUUUUUGUAUCUAGGAAGAAUUAAUUCCUUCUUUUGCUAUGGUAAUUUUUUUUUUAUCCUUUUGCAUCACAUUUUUGUUAAAAGCUGUAAGAUAUGAUGCCUGUCUCUCAUGAAAGUAUUUUUGGCCAGGAACACUGAAACUGCUACGUUUAUAAAUAAACAACAUUUAUAAACAAAGUUCUCUAAUGACCAAGACCGUGAUACAUAGAUUCAUGGCCGUGUACCUAAUUGUUGCAAUUAUAUAUCAUUUCUAGAAAUUGAAUGCCCAUGUUUGAGCAGCUAAAUGUAUUAUUAUCUGCACAUUUUUUAUGGUUUAUUUUUGUACACUGCUGUCAAGCCAUGGUAUUUUUCUUUCUGUUAUUGCAAAGUCUUUUAUACUCUCCCACUUUAUCUUGAAAAAAGAGAGGAUGAGAAUUAUUUUUUAGAUGGGUAACGGUAGUGCUCUCAAGCUUAUAACUUAAUUCUCACUUUUGUCCUUUUUACUUUAUUAUUUAGUGAUUCACAGGGGUGUCUAAACAUUUACAGUUCUCUGUUAGCAGUGUUUCUUGUAUAACAAUUGAGCUCUCUCAUUUUAAUUAGUACUAUUCAGAUUUUUGAUUCUCUGCAAUUAUAGCAGGCCACAUUUCUUUAGACUUCUUUGCUAACAUUGUUUGUUUCACUUCUAUCCAGGCCAGUCUAAUCCAAAUACAAUAUGAACUGCGUUUCCUUACUGCUUAAUAUCCCCUUGCUAUAUAUAUGCCUGUAAUCUCUGUAGAACAAUAUAGAGUAAUUUAGAAACCAUGCGUUUGUCAUUAUUGACCAAUUCAAAUCAGUAGCAUUAAAGUUUCCGAAAGCAGUGAAUAUUUAUAGAGGAAUUGGUGGGGGGAGGGCAUGGGGUGGAUCAUGCAGAAGACUGCGAAACUGUAACAUCAAAAACACAGUUGUAGUUUCAUGUCAGUUCAUACAUAACAACUUCAUGCAAAAAGAAGAAAAGAAAAAAACCCUG
ensembl:lncRNA